rnacentral:tRNA from 1 species
GCCCAGGUGGCUCAGAUGGUAAAGUGUCUGCCUGCAAUGCAGGAGAUUUAGGUAUAGGUUCCAUCCCUGGGUU